rnacentral:rRNA from 1 species
GAUGAACGCUGGCGGCGUGCCUAAUACAUGCAAGUCGAGAGAAGCGGGGACGGGUGCGUAACACGUGGAUCACCUCCUAUAAGACUGGGAUAAAGUCGGGCAACCGGAGCGAAACCGGAUACUGAUAGAUGGAUCCGCGCUGCAUUAGCUAGUUGGUAAGGUAACGGCCUACCAAGGCAACGAUGCAUAGACGACCUGAGUUGUUGAGCCGCCACACGCGAUCUGAGACUCGGUCCAGACCCCUACGGGAGGCAGCAGUAGGGAAUCUUCCGCAAUGGGCGGAAGCCUGACGGAGCAUCGCCGCGUGAGUGAUGAAGGUUUUCGGUUCGUCAAACUCUGUUAGUAGGGAAGCGGUACCUCAUCAGAGAGCCACGGCUAGCUACGUGCCAGCAGCCGCGUAAUAC